GAUGAACGCUGGCGGCGUGCCUAAUACAUGCAAGUCGAGCGAACGGACGAGAAGCUUGCUUCUCUGAUGUUAGCGGCGGACGGGUGAGUAACACGUGGAUAACCUACCUAUAAGACUGGGAUAACUUCGGGAAACCGGAGCUAAUACCGGAUGAUAUUUUGAACCGCAUGGUUCAAAAGUGAGAGACGGUCUUGCUGUCACUUAUAGAUGGAUCCGCGCUGCAUUAGCUAGUUGGUAAUGUAACGGCUUACCAAGGCAACGAUGCAUAGCCGACCUGAGAGGGUGAUCGGCCACACUGGAACUGAGACACGGUCCAGACUCCUACGGGAGGCAGCAGUAGGGAAUCUUCCGCAAUGGGCGAAAGCCUGACGGAGCAACGCCGCGUGAGUGAUGAAGGUCUUCGGAUCGUAAAACUCUGUUAUUAGGGAAGAACAUAUGUGUAAGUAACUGUGCACAUCUUGACGGUACCUAAUCAGAAAGCCACGGCUAACUACGUG
rnacentral:rRNA from 1 species